GGAUGAGCCACCGCCGCUUGAAGGAAGAAGGGUUUCGGAUAGUAAAACUCUGAUGUUAAAGAAGAACAUAUCUGAGAGUAACUGUUCAGGUAUUGACGGUAUUUAACCAGAAAGCCACGGCUAACUACGUGCCAGCAGCCGCGGUAAUACGUAGGUGGCAAGCGUUGUCCGGAUUUAUUGGGCGUAAAGCGAGCGCAGGCGGUUUAUUAAGUCUGAUGUGAAAGCCUUCGGCUCAACCGAAGAAGUGCAUCGGAAACUGGGAAACUUGAGUGCAGAAGAGGACAGUGGAACUCCAUGUGUAGCGGUGAAAUGCGUAGAUAUAUGGAAGAACACCAGUGGCGAAGGCGGCUGUCUGGUCUGUAACUGACGCUGAGGCUCGAAAGUAUGGGUAGCAAACAGGAUUAGAUACCCUGGUAGUCCAUACCGUAAACGAUGAAUGCUAAGUGUUGGAGGGUUUCCGCCCUUCAGUGCUGCAGCUAACGCAUUAAGCAUUCCGCCUGGGGAGUACGGCCGCAAGGCUGAAACUCAAAGGAAUUGACGGGGGCCCGCACAAGCGGUGGAGCAUGUGGUUUAAUUCGAAGCUACGCGAAGAACCUUACCAGGUCUUGACAUACUAUGCAAAUCUAAGAGAUUAGACGUUCCCUUCGGGGACAUGGAUACAGGUGGUGCAUGGUUGUCGUCAGCUCGUGUCGUGAGAUGUUGGGUUAAGUCCCGCAACGAGCGCAACCCUUAUUAUCAGUUGCCAGCAUUAAGUUGGGCACUCUGGUGAGACUGCCGGUGACAAACCGGAGGAAGGUGGGGAUGACGUCAAAUCAUCAUGCCCCUUAUGACCUGGGCUACACACGUGCUACAAUGGAUGGUACAACGAGUUGCGAACUCGCGAGAGUAAGCUAAUCUCUUAAAGCCAUUCUCAGUUCGGAUUGUAGGCUGCAACUCGCCUACAUGAAGUCGGAAUCGCUAGUAAUCGCGGAUCAGCAUGCCGCGGUGAAUACGUUCCCGGGCCUUGUACACACCGCCCGUCACACCAUGAGAGUUUGUAACACCCAAAGUCGGUGGGGUAACCUUUUAGGAACCAGCCGCCUAAGUGACAGAGGGUUGGA
rnacentral:rRNA from 1 species